GACGAACGCUGGAGGCGUGCUUAACACAAGCAAGUCGAACGAUGAAAUGGAGCUUGCUCCAUGGAUUAGUGGCGAACGGGUGAGUAACACGUGAGUAACCUGCCCUUAAUUUUGGAAUAACCCAGGGAAACCUGGGCUAAUACCGGAUAAGUAAACCUGUGGCAUCACAUGGUUUUGGAAAGUUUUUCGAUUAAGGAUGGAUUCGCGGCCUAUCAGCUUGUUGGUGAGGUAAUGGCUCACCAAGGCGACGACGGGUAGCCGGCCUGAGAGGGUGAACGGCCACACUGGGACUGAGACACGGCCCAGACUCCUACGGGAGGCAGCAGUGGGGAGUAUUGCGCAAUGGACGAAAGUCUGACGCAGCGACGCCUCGUGAGGGACGAAGGUCUUCGGAUUGUAAACCUCUUUCAGCAGGGACGAAGCGAAAGUGACGGUACCUGCAGAAGAAGCACCGGCUAACUAUGUGCCAGCCGCCGCAGUAA
rnacentral:rRNA from 1 species